rnacentral:lncRNA from 1 species
UCCGAAUGUUAAACAUUUGUUGUGAGUUAACUUGCUCAGAAUUCUCUAGAGUGUAGCAUUUAUAGAAGAAAAAUUAUCUAAAAUCAAGGUUUUACAUUUUCAAUUAAACUAAUCCGCGAAGAGGUGAAAGUUGAGAUUGUUGGAGGAUGUAAAGUGAAAAUGAAUUUUUAAUAAUUUUUUGACAACAUACUAUCAAACCUAAGAAAAACUAUCACGUAUAAACAUUGUGAAAAUAUUGUUAAAAAAAACAUUUUUCAAGUAAAAAAUAAGCCUUUGUGGAGAAAAUGACCCACAUUGGUGCACAUGAUAUUGUUUUAAAGGCAAUUACUUUUUUACAUCCUGUUUCUUUCUACACUUUGAGGUAGGUGUUAAAAUUGAGGUAGGUGUUAAAAGGGUAGCGAUAUUUCAACAACGCAUCUUUGACAACGGCUUUGACAAAGCCAGCAGUCACUUUUUUAUUGGCUGCAUUUAUUUGAUUUUUUUUAAUUCGAAAAUUUGAUUUGGAUUGGUUUUCCGAAAGUGUCCCUCUGUCCAAAAGAGAUCGUUCUCAGUGUUAGGGUUUUCAUUCUGAAAUUUCGCAUUUUCUUUCCUUCUCACUCUCGUUCUCUCUCGUUCGCGUCGUCAUUCUUGUCCUUGGAACUGUCGUUGUCUCUGCUUGGCACUGUCGUUCUUCUCCUUCACAAUCUCGUUCUGUCUCCUUCGCACUGUCUCCUUCGCAGUCUCGUUCUGUCUCAUUUGCCAUCUUCCCUCCGUCUUCCCUCCUUCUUCGAUUUUUGUUGAGUGGUUGCCCCUUUGAGUUGGUAUAGAGUUUGUUUGUCUGUGGAGUUUGUGGAGUCCGUUUAAGGUUUGUUUGAAGUUUGUGUUUGUUUCUUCGUUUUAGUGUGGAAUGGCUUCGACCCUUGACACUGGUUCUGCCAACAAGGUAUAUAUAUCAUUGGUUUGACAUAUUGUUUGUGUAUUUUGUUCGUUAUGUG